rnacentral:rRNA from 1 species
UACAGAGGGUGCGAGCGUUGUUCGGAAUUAUUGGGCGUAAAGGGCGCGUAGGCGGUGCGGUAAGUCACCUGUGAAAUCUCCUGGCUCAACUGGGAGCUUGCAGGCGAAACUGGCGAGCUUGAGUACUGAAGAGGAUCGCGGAAUUCCCGGUGUAGAGGUGAAAUUCGUAGAUAUCGGGAGGAACACCAGUGGCGAAGGCGGCGAUCUGGGCAGAUACUGACGCUGAGGUGCGAAAGCGUGGGGAGCAAACAGG